rnacentral:rRNA from 1 species
AAUAAGCGGAGGAAAAGAAACUAACAAGGAUUCCCUUAGUAACUGCGAGUGAAGAGGGAAAAGCUCAAAUUUAAAAUCUGGCAGUGUUUCACUGUCCGAGUUGUAACCUAGAGAAGUGUAACCUGCACUGGACCGUGUAUAAGUCUCCUGGAAUGGAGCAUCACAGAGGGUGAGAAUCCCGUCUUUGACAUGGACCACCAGUGCAUUGUGGUUGUGCUCUCAACGAGUCGAGUUGUUUGGGAAUGCAGCUCUAAAUGGGUGGUAAAUUCCAUCUAAAGCUAAAUAUUGGCGAGAGACCGAUAGCGAACAAGUACCGUGAGGGAAAGAUGAAAAGAACUUUGGAAAGAGAGUUAAACAGUAUGUGAAAUUGUUGAAAGGGAAACGUUUGAAGUCAGUCGCGUUGGUUGGGGAUCAGCCUAACAUUGUUGGGUUUACUUCCUGGUCGACGGGCCAACAUCAGUUUUGACUGCCAGAAAAAGGCCAAAGGAAUGUGGCACCUUUGGGUGUGUUAUAGCCCUUGGUCGUAUAUGGUGGUUGGGACUGAGGAAAGCAGCGUGCCGAAAGGCCGGGUUUCGACCACGUUCACGCUGAGGAUGUUGGCAUAAUGGCUUUAAGCGACCCGUCUUGAAACACGGACCAAGGAGUCUAACAUGCAUGCGAGUGUUUGGGUGGAAAACCCUUACGCGUAAUGAAAGUGAAAGUUGAGAUCCCUGUCGCGGGGAGCAUCGACGCCCGGACCAGAACUUUUGGGACGGAUCUGCGGUAGAGCACGUAUGUUGGGACCCGAAAGAUGGUGAACUAUGCCUGAAUAGGGUGAAGCCAGAGGAAACUCUGGUGGAGGCUCGUAGCGAUUCUGACGUGCAAAUCGAUCGUCAAAUUUGGGUAUAGGGGCGAAAGACUAAUCGAACCAUCUAGUAGCUGGUUCCUGCC